rnacentral:sRNA from 1 species
UUAUCUAACAAGUAACGGUUAUAACAUCUCGCGUGUUGUUCUAUUUACGCAUAUCUAAUUAAAUGCAUGACCAAACUCAAUUAUAAACUAACACUGCUCGGAAGACGCUGUAGCUGCGGCGGAAGACGCUGUGGAUUGGUGUGUUUCCAGUGGGUGUUCGAUGGUUAACAGCAUAUCCAGUUUUGGAUCUGUGAUGGCUUAUGCGGAAUCAGGUUGCUGAGGGGUUGUCUGAGCUAUCACCCUUCACUAGCCGCCUUUUUUCUGUAUCCAUCAAACCGGAUUAACGAUUGUUUGCUUCUAAAAGAUUUUCAGAUCUACGAUUUUCGUAUACUAUGGUCAUUGAUCUCGCUCGGGUGGUUGUGUUGCAAAGUAGUGGGCCUUGUAUACGACGGUACUAUUAGAUCUGUUCGUUGCCUCCGUUUUGAUUGUCCAAAUCCAACUCUGUUUCUUUUUUUUCCGUUGACCAGAAUUUCUUUCUGUUUUUAUAACCGUAAAAGAUUGUAAUUUCCAGGCAUAAACCCAAUUGGGAAUGGG